UCCUCCUUCCGCGUCCGAGAUUUUCUCCGCAUCCUCCCAGCAGAUGUAGCUCAUCACGGAUCAAAACAACAGCUUAUCACGAAUCCUUAUCCCAGCAUUCAACCGCAUCCGCGAUCAGCUUCUUCCGGAUUCUUCACGUUCGCGAAUCACAGCCAGCCACCAUCCGUGAUUCAAGGUUUCUUCCCUCCACGGAUGAGUUCAUCUUCCUUCCCUCCACGUCUGCAGCCUCUCUCCCAUUCGCGAUCA
rnacentral:lncRNA from 1 species